ensembl:lncRNA
CCCCGUCCCGUCCCCGUCCCGUCCCGUCCCCGGGCCGUGCCCCGCAGGAAGCUGGCGCUCAAGUACCACCCGGACAAGAACCCCGACGACCCGGCGGCGGCCGAGCGGUUCAAGGAGAUCAACAGCGCCCACGCCACGCUGAGCGACGAGGACAAGCGCCGCCUCUACGACCAGUACGGCUCCCUGGGGCUCUACGUGGCCGAGCAGUUCGGGGACGAUGCCGUCAAGCACUACUUCCUCAUGUCCAAGUGGUGGGUCCAGGCCCUGGUUCUGUGCUGCGGUGCUCUCACCUGCUGCUGCUGCUGCUGCUGCUGCUUCUUCUGCUGCGGGACCUGCUGCCCGCCCAAGGAGGACGAGUCCUACAAGUACGUCGACCCCAAGGACCUGGAGGCGCAGAUGCGUGCGGAGGACAGCGGUGAGUCGGGCUGUCUGUCUGUCUGUCUGUCUGUCCGUCCCUGGGCUUCAUCUUGUGUGGGGCUCCAGGGCAGCUCCCCCCAUCUCAUCUCGGGGGGGGGUUGGGGCUCUGGCUGGGGGCUCGCAGCAGAGCUGGCUGCAGCUCUGGCUUCACUGCCAGCCCUCAGUGUCCCCUCUCCGGACUGGGGCUGGUGGUGGCAGUGGAGGGGACAACUGCACGGCCAUGGGGGUGCCUUCUCCUUCCUCUUUUUCCCCUGGGCAAGGGCUCCCUGAAGCCCCUACAGGGGUCUGCAGCCCAGAGGCACUGCGCCCGUGCUCUCCGGGGGUGUGGGGAGGGCAGUGUGCUCCAGGCUGGCUUCCUUCCCUGGGCACUGGCCACACUGGUGUCUGUGGGGACGGCCACUGGGCCGCUUUAGCAGGUUUCUGUGGGGCAGGGGGCACUGCUGCGUGGCUGGGCUGGCGGUUUGGGAGCCGUGGCCUGGGGAGCCUUUGGGAGGGCGUUGGGGUGUCCCAGGUACCUGCUCGCCAGCACCGCGGGACGGGGCUGAGCCGCUGACCCACAGCCCUUCUGUUCCAGACCCACAGGGACCUGUUGUGGCGCAGCCCCCGCCGGCCGGCCCCGAGCCCCUGCCGGCCCCCAGCUCCAGGACGGAUGCCUGAGGCUGGGCUCAGUCCCCCCGGCUCCCCCAGGACUGCGGGCAGGGAUCCUCUGUUGGGACUGUCACUUUCCGGGACCCCGGUCACACCGCCCAGGGUGGCUCUCCAGCCCCAGGGUGGGUAGAAUCUCAGGUUAAUUUGGCCAGCAUCGACGCGGGGGCUCAUCACCCCUGCUCGAGCUCCAGGGCCCUGCCCCUGUCUCCCAGCGCUGGUGGGGGAGGUGGUCUGGAGCCCGCACGGCUGCGCCCUCAUCCCAGUGCCUCGCCUGCUGCUGUGCCCCCCCGGCCCCGGGCACCAGCAGCCGCGGCGGGGGCCCCUUCGUCCCGGCUCCGUUAGCGUAGGAGCAUGUCCGAGACCGUUAGCACUGUAACCCCCGGGGCCGGGCUGAGCCCGCUCCCUGCCCUCACGGGGACCCUCCUGAUGGGUGCUGGGUGCCAAACGCUGCUCCUGGGGUUGGGGUGCCGCCUCUGUGCCCCCUUCCUCUCUGCCCAGCCACGGCCCCGGGGCGCGGGCUGCACCCCACGCUGCCGCUGGCAGGCUCCCUGCAGGGCUGGGCCCGGCACAGGCACUUUCCUUGGGUUUGUUUAGGUUCUAUGGGUACCAUUAAAAGAAGACAGGAGGGGAACGCGUCUGCGUGUGAUCUCUGUCCCCUGGGGGGCUGCCCGGACACUGCGGUGGGACGUGGCUCUGCCCUGUGUGUGGGGCUGUGGCCGUGGGUCCUGCGGGAGGGGACCCCUAGGUGGGUCGUGUCCCAGGGGCUGCUGUUUUCUCGCAGGGGUGAAUGUCACGCUGUCUCCUGUCACCUUCCUGGGACAGCUCUGUGUCCCCCAGCCCCGCUGGCUCCCUCGGGCUGUGCUUGUCCCCCUCCUCGCUGCUGCAGUGGGUCGGGCAGCAGCAGC